rnacentral:tRNA from 1 species
ACUAUUUUGGCAGAAAAAAUGUAAUGAUUUUAGAAAUCAUUGAUAUAUAUGUUAAUAUAUAUUUAGUA